UAUUCAAGUGUCAAGAGAAUUUAAAUUAAGUUCUAUCAUUAGAUAUUAAGGUUUAUUGAUUAGAUAGAGGAUAAAUUGGUUAUUAAUAUCGUAUUUCAGGUGGUGACGAGGAAAUUGGAAACGUUUAUCAGGCAAUCUAGCUUGUAGCUCCUACCUUGUGAGUGGAUAAAACUUAUUUUUCAGAAAUAAGUAUUCUUUAAAUUUUAAAGUUAUUUAUUUUAUAAAGUUGAUUUCAUAGCAUGAUUUUCAAAAUAAAAAGGAUUUUAUUAUCAAUUUCUUUUAAAGUUAAAAUUCAGUUCAGUUAAAUUAUUUUAGUAGCAUGUUAUAUUCUUAUUACAUGUUUCAGUAUAGUUAAAGUUAUUUCUAAAAAUCACCAGAAAGUACUCAGGUGAUUUUACCCCAGUUUGCACUGAUGUGAAUGUGUUUCCACAGUGUAUGACUAGUUAUAGUGAUUUUACCCGCUCUACACUAUCGUAAAUGUGUUUCCAUAGUGUAUGACUAGAUUAUUAGAGGUCUUUGGGACCCACUCUCGUACACACAUAAGCUUUGGGCCGUGUACUAGGGUGAUUAGCCUUUGGAGCAGCUCUGUGUACGUAUGACCAGAUUAUUAGAUUAUCAGCUAUCAGAUUUUUAGAUUUGAAUGGCUUUGCCUUGUACAUCGAGAUUACUCUGUACAUGAGUAAGGCUAUUCAUUGGGUACUCUUUUUGGUGUGAUUUCUUAGUAUUUAUUCAGUUCUCAGAUUUCAGAUUAUGGAAUUUAGUUAAUUCAGUUUUCAGAAUAAAGCUUUCAGCUUAUAGUAUUAAGCAGCAGCAUUAUUUCAUAGAUUUUCAUUAAUAUCAUAUUCUUUAUAUUUGUUAUACCUUACAGAUUCUUAUCUAAAAUUUAGAACAAAGAAUUUUAUAAUGUAAUCAUGUUUAGUUUAUAAAAGUAUUACUAGAUUCAGAAAUUCUCAAGAAUUUAAUAAAGUUUAGAUUUUUAGAAAAUAUGCAUAAAUGGAAAAUUUUUACUUAUUUGCAAAUCAUCCACUCACUGAGUUACGAACUCAUAUUUUUGUCAUGUUUUUCCUAUCAGGAGGCCGUUGAUUUUGAGAUACUUGGAAAAGCCUUCUAAAGCGAAAGAGACCGUUUCAUAGUAUGUAAUGAAUUGUUGGGGGACUCAUGUUUAUUAAGUACUUUGUCUAAUAUUUGGGGUGUCAUGCACUUUGUAGAAGGGUUUGUAAUUGAUGUAAUGCUUGCAUGUAGACAUGAUGUUGUUGCAGAAGCACUCAGUCGAAUUUUGUUUUAGUUGUGGUGGUAUUAGUGGAAGUGGUGGUUUCCAAAACUUUUGGUUUGAAUGUCUAUUUGAGGUUUUGAUGAUUUUUCAGGUUGGUUUUGUCCAUUUUUAAGGGGAAACUCUGUCAAAAUUUUCAUAGAAAUAUGGCACAGUCAAAUAGGUCAAGUUUGCUUUGGUGGUGGGUCCGGCAUUUAGCUAGCAUUUACCAUCGAUGCACGACACGUGUCGAGUCAAUUAGGUUGAGUCGGGACGGGUCGUGUCAAUUGGUAUCAGAGCGUGGUCUUAGAGUUUAUGAGUAACAUUACAUGUAUCUGAUGUUUGUAUGUCACACAUUAUUGUAGGUAAGUCAUGCGUGGUAGAGGCAGAACUCCCAGGCACCAAAAUUCAGUAUCUUAAGCUCAUAAUACUCCUGAAGAAAGACAUGUUGGAGGGGUCAGUGGGGCUGCUGAAUCAGUGCACCAGUCUUAGGUGCAACCUGACCCCAUCACUGCUAGAAUAGCUGCAGCUAUUGCUUCCCUUCUACCAAAUACCGAUAGAGAUAACUCUAUAGAGAGAGCGAUGAAACUUGGAGCAAAAUUUUUUAUGGGUAUAUCUAAUCCAGCUGAUGCUGAACUUUGGAUGAAAACUUUGGAAAGCAUAUUUGAUGUGAUAGAAUGCUCAGAGGAUAAAAAAUUACGCAUUGCAGUAUUUUUAUUGAAGGGGGGAGCUGCUGAUUGGUGGAUUUCGUUCCGAAGUCGGUAUCUCAGAUAGUAUCUCCUCAACCAGGGAUCGGUAUGACUAGACAGAACAGGGAUCAAAGAGCUCCAUCAGCAGGGUCGAUGGGGGCCACACAAUCUAAUGCUGCUAGGGAUAGUGCUUCUAGACAGGGAGCCCAGGCAGGUCGAUCCACGACUCAGGGCAAUGUGUUUGCUAUGACAUAGCAGGAGGCAGAGGAGUCACCAGAUGUGAUAGUGGGUAUGUUAUCUAUUUUUGGUAGAAAUGCUCGUUCUUUAAUUGACUCGGGUGCUACGCAUUCCUUUAUUUCUCACACAAUUGCUAGCUAUGCUAAUCAAAUGUCAGAGCCUUUAGAUAAUGAAUUGGUAGUAAUGACUCCAGUGGGGGACUCACUUUUAGCAAAUCGUGUAUAUACAGAUUGUGGGAUUAGAGUGAACAAUCAUGAGUUGAAAGCAUAUUUAAUUCCUCUUGACAUUCAUGAUUUUGAUGUUAUUUUGGGGAUUGAUUUUCUGUCUAAUCACCGUGCUUCAGUUGAUUGUUUUCGCAAGGAAGUGAUAUUUAGAAGCCCAGGAGAGCUUGAAAUUGUUCUCACUGGAGAGCGCAAAAUUUUGCUAUCUUGUGUAAUAUCUGUCAUGGAUGCUCGCAGAAUGCUCAAAAAGGGUUGUAUGUAUAUUUGGCCCAUGUAAUUGAUACUCAGAUUACAAAGCGAGCAAUUGACGAUAUAUUAGUUGUGCGAGAUUUUCCCAAUAUCUUUCCAGAAGACCUUUCGAGAUUACCCCCAAAUAGGGAGAUAUAAUUCUGUAUUAAUUUGAUUCCCGAGACAACACCUAUUUCACAGGCACCUUAUCGAAUGGCUCUGAAAGAGUUGAAGGAAUUAAAUGUACAAUUACAAGAAUUGGUAGAUAAGGGUUUCAUUAGACCUAGUGCAUCCCCAUGGGGAGCACCUGUAUUAUUUGUGAAGAAGAAAGAUGGCUCUAUGAGAUUAUGUAUUGACUAUAAAUAGCUGAAUAAGAUGACUAUUCACAAUAAGUAUCCUCUGCUCCGCAUUGAUGAUUUGUUUGAUCAACUUCGAGGUGCCUCAGUAUUUUCAAAGAUUGAUUUACGUUCAGGUUAUCAUCAGCCUAGAAUUAGAAAUGUUGAUGUACCAAAGACUGCUUUUCGAUCUCGAUAUGGUCACUAUGAAUUUUUGGUGAUGCCGUUUGGAUUAACUAAUGCCUCAGCUGCAUUUGAUGAGUAGGGUGAUCCACUCAUAUUUACCCAUAUGGAUUUGAUGAAUAGGGUAAUUCACCCAUAUUUAGAUAAAUUUGUGAUUGUUUUUAUUGACGAUAUAUUGGUUUAUUCUCAUAGUCAUGAUGAGCAUGCUGAACAUUUGAAGAUUAUCUUGCAGAUUUUGCGAGAUAAGCAGUUGUAUGCUAAAUUUAGCAAAUUUGAAUUUUGGUUGGAUAAAGUUGUGUUUCUGGGUCAUGUCAUCUCAGGAGAAGGCAUUUAUGUAGAUCCUCAUAAAAUCGAAGCAAUUAUGAGAUGGGAACGUCCUACUAAUGUUAUAGAAGUACAGAGUUUCCUUGGGCUAGUAGGUUAUUAUCGUUGAUUUGUAGAGAAUUUCUCCAAAAUUGCUCUUCCUCUAACUAAUUGACUCGAAAGAACGCCAAAGUUGUGUGGAAUGAGGAAUGUGAGAAGAGUUUUCUAGAGUUGAAGAAAAGGUUGACUUCUGCUCCUAUACUUACUUUUCCAUCUUCGGGUGAAGAGUUUGUGAUUUAUAGUGAUGCUUCACGCCAAGGAUUGGGUUGUGUUCUAAUGCAAAAUGGGCAAGUUGUAGCUUAUGCUUCAAGACAAUUGAAGAAGCAUGAGUUAAAUUACCCAACUCAUGAUUUGGAGUUAGCUGCAAUAGUGUUGGCAUUGAAGAUUUGGAGGCAUUAUCUUUAUGGUGAGAAAUGUCAAAUAUUUACUGAUCACAAAAGUUUGAAGUAUACUUUUGAUCAGUACUACCAUCCGGGGAAAGCAAAUGUAGUUGCAGAUGCUCUCAGUAGAAAGACAAAGUUCAUCCUCUCCAUCAAGUGCAGUUUAUGCUUCUUUGAUUUGUGAGUUCAAGAAGUUACACACUCAGUUGACAACUACUACUUCAGGGGCAGUAUUAGCUCAUUUUCAGGUGAGGCCAACUUUGAUUGAUAAGGUUAGAGAAGCUCAAUCUCAAGACUAGACAUUGAGAAUAUUGAAAGCAGAAGUUAGUACUGGGUUAAGAACGGAUUAUGUGAUUAGAGAUGAUGGGCCGUUGGCUAUGGGUAAUAGAUUAUGUGUUCCAAAUAUUCCAGAAUUGAAGAAAGAGAUUUUGGAAGAAGCCCACAAUUCUGCUUAUGCUAUGCAUCCAGGCAGUAUUAAAAUGUAUCAUACAUUGAAAGAUCAUUAUUGGUGGCUUUGUAUGAAGAGAGAGAUAGCAGAUUUUGUAUCCAAAUGUCUUAUAUGUCAGCAGGUAAAGCCAAUUCGUCAGAAAACAGCAGGACUUUUACCGCCAUUGCCUACCCAGAAUGGAAAUGGGAACACAUUACUAUGGACUUUUUAUUUGGCCUUUCUCGUACUUAGAAUGGUCAUGAUGGAGUUUGGGUUAUCGCAGAUCGUUUGAACAAGACAGCCAAAUUUUUUGCCAAUCAAAGCUACUUAUACUUUAAAUAAGUUGGCAAAGUUGUAUGUGGAUUAGAUAGUGAGCUCUUAUGGUACUCUAUUAUCUAUUGUGUCAGAUAGAGACCCUCAUUUUACAUCUAAAUUUUGGCCUAGUUUGCAGGAAGCCAUGGGUACUAAACUACAUUUCAGUACAGCUUUUCAUCCUCAGACACAUGGCCAGUCAGAGAGGACCAUACAGACUCUUAAAGAUAUGUUGAGGGCUUGUGUUUUAGAGCUCAAGGGUAGCUGGGAUACUCAUUUGUCAUUGAUGGAGUUUGCUUACAAUAAUAGCUACCACACUAGUAUAGAAAUGGCUCAUUUUGAAGCUUUAUAUGGUCGGAAGUGCAGGACACCAGUUUGUUGGGAUGAAGCUGGUAAGAGGAAGUUAGAAGGCCCGAAAUUGGUUCAAAUGACAUCCGAAAAUGUGAAAUUGAUUAAAGAAAAGUUGAAAGCAGCUUAGGAUAGACAGAAAAAUAAUGCGGAUAGGCACAGAAAAGAUCUUGAUUUUGUAGUAGGAAACAAAGUUUUUCUUAAAUUAUCUCCUUGGAAAGGGGUGUUGAGAUUUGGCAAGCGAGGAAAGUUGAGUCCACGAUACACUGGACCCUAUGAGAUUACUGAGCGGAUUGGUCUAGUUGCAUAUCGAUUAGAUCUGUCCGAUGAAUUAUCCCGAAUCCAUGAUGUUUUUCAUGUUUCCAUGCUUUGCAAGUACAUUGCUGAUCCUUCUGAUGUUCUGGAGUCUCAGCCAAUUCAGUUGAAGGAGAAUUUGACUUAUAUAGUAGAGCCAGUGAAAAUCUUAGACAAGAAAGUGCAAACUCAACGAAACCAGACAGUUUUACUUGUUAAAGUACUUUGGCAGAAUCAGACAGUAGAAGAGGCUACUGGGAGAAUGAGGAUCAGAUGCGUACUCAAUAUCUUUACUUAUUCAUAUCCAGUCAGUUGCCAGUUGAAUUUCAAGGACGAAAUUCUUUUAAGGAGGUAAGAUUGUUACAAUCCACAUUUUUAUCUAGUUAAAGUCAAUAGUGGAAUUUUCAAAGUCAAGUCAACUAAGGACUAAAAUGAAAUUAAAUAUUUUAUUUGGGUUUAUUUUGCAAUUGGCAAAAUAUGAAGGUUAAAUUGGAUACAUUUCAAAGUUUGGAAUUUAUUUGUAUACUUUUGGAAGUUAUAGGAUUAAAUGUCACUCAAAAAUGAAGUUGAAGGACUAAUUUUGCAAAUUUGGUUAUGUGGACCAUUAAAUGCAACCUUUGACCCAUUUUUCACUCAAAGUCACACACACACACAAUGAAGAAAAAUAGGCAGAAGCUGGAGACUGAAAAAAGGGAGAAAAAUUAGGGGAAAAAAGGGGGAAAAAAAAGGAAAGAUGGAAGGGAAAAAGAAAAGGGAAGAAGAAGAAAAGAGGUAAGGCUAAUCUCUUCAAAUUUGGGUUGAAUUUUUUUAUUUCUUUUAAGUGAUAAAGUAUGAAUUAACAAAUGUAUAUUAAAUGGGUGGAAUUGUGGUUACUAGUUUCACUAGAUUGGAGAAUAAAAUUAGUUUUAAACUUGGGAAGAAGGUUUUGUUGAUGAAUUAGUUAUUAGUCAAGGGAUUAUAAAGUGUGAUUAGCUCCAAUUAAUAAAGAAAAAUUUGAGAAUUUAUUCAAGUGUCAAGAGAAUGUAAAUUAAGUUCUAUCAUUAGAUAUUAAGGUUUCUUGAUUAGAUAGAGGAUAAAUUGGUUAUUAAUAUCGUAUUUCAGGUGGUGACGAGGAAAUUGGAAACGUUUAUCAGGCAAUCUAGCUUGUAGCUCCUACCUUGUGAGUGGAUAAAACUUAUUUUUCAGAAAUAAGUCUUCUAUAAAUUUUAAAGUUAUUUAUUUUAUAAAGUUGACUUCAUAACAUGAUUUUCAGAAUAAAAUGAAUUUUAUUAUCAAUUUCUUUUAAAGUUAAAUUCAGUUCAGUUAAAUUAUUUUAGUAGCAUGUUAUAUUCUUAUUACAUGUUUCAGUAUAGUUAAAGUUAUUUCUAAAAACCACCAGAAAGUACCCAGGUGAUUUUACCCCAGUUUGCACUGAUGUGAAUGUGUUUCCACAGUGUAUGACUAGUUAUAGUGAUUUUACCUACUCUGCACUAUCGUAAAUGUGUUUCCAUAAUGUAUGACCAGAUUAUCAGAGGUCUUUGG
rnacentral:lncRNA from 1 species